rnacentral:misc_RNA from 1 species
GUCACGAUCUUGUCGGGCGUAUCGUGCGCGACCUUCUCGAUGUCCAUGCCGCCUUCGGUCGACACCACGAACGCCACCCACGACGUUUCGCGAUCGACCAGCAGCGANNNNNNNNNNNNNGGAGCCGUCUUCGAGAUAGAGGCGGUUGACCUGCUUGCCGGCCGGGCCGGUCUGGAUGGUCACCAGCGUUGCGCCGAGCAUCUGCUUGGCGAAGUCCUUCNNNNNNNNNNNGAUCGACUUGGCGAGACGCACGCCGCCCUUGUCGCCUGCCGAGGCUUCCUUGAAUUUGCCCUUGCCGCGUCCGCCGGCGUGGAUCUGGCUCUUCACCACCCACAACGGGCCGCCGAGCUCCUUCGCCGCAGCUUCCGCUUCACCUGCCUUGAGAAUUGGCACGCCGCGCGACACCGGCACGCCCGAAUUCCUUCAGCACCGCCUUGGCCUGAUAUUCGUGGAUGUUCAUGGAUUGCCCCAGAGAACCGAAGUGAGAAAGAGGAAAGCUUAGCGCACGAUCCGG